GGACGAGUAGCUCAGUGGUAGAGCGCCCAGCCACAAGGCGGUUGUAUGAUGUUGGUGCGGCGGUUGUACGAUGCUGGCGGCUGGGAGGGCACAAGUUCGACUCUUGUCUCGUUCA